AUUCAUUUAUUUAAUUUUAUUAGAAAGUAAGACAGUUAACUUUGGGUUAGUUACUUUAUUGACGCUUGGUUUUUUGGCAUCUUGUGAAUAGUUGAGGCUGGUGUAGGAGAAAUGAAAUACUGUGAUGAAGAAACCCACCACUCUGGCAAUAACUAUCACUUCCUUUCGUAGCCAGGUGGAAUAUACUGACGUUCUUACCAGUGAGCAGUGAAAAAAAGUCAGACUUCUUUGUAGUGCAGAGUAUGAUACCGAUGGCGAGGUGGAGGGGAAGUUUGUGUUGUACAGAAACACUUUUUUUUUUCAUGCACCACAGAUGGAACCAGGCUAUAAACCUCAUUCUGUCCAAGUCAGAGACUAUUCUGGCUUUCCAUCACUUACUGAUCUCAGUACCAUCAGAGAGGACAGGACAAAUCGGGUGCUUUUUGUGACAAGGAAGGGAAAUGUGACUAUCGUGGUGUAACUUCCUUUGUCAGCUGUAUCCCUCAGCCUGUAAAUAGCAUGCCUUUAACGAGUGGGGAGUUGCAGAUUUUGGGGAGACAAGUUUAAAAUUCUUCAGGGACGAUGAAAAUAAACUGCAUGGAAUCUGCUCCGAGCGUGGGUCAGAACAAAAUCUAAAAAGGGAGUGAUUGCAAAUCUCUAAGUAUAACUCAACGGAAGUUGUUGAGGAAGUAGGUGAGUGUGAGAAUGAGUGGCUGACGGUUACUGGAAAUGGAAUAGGUUUGAGGAAUGCUGUAGUGCAGUACAGCUGUGGUAGUUAACUGGUGGUGUAGACGUCUCAGUACAGUGGGAAUAGAUGGGGUGUCUUGAAGCCUGUGAAUAACUAUACACGUACAUAAUUCAGGACCUGUCAAACCCUGGCCACCGUGUCUAACCUGUGGUGAUGCAGAAGCUGAUGUAAAAUGGAGUAAAACGCGGCACAACUGGAGUUGGGAGUUUCACUUACUGAUGCCUUAGGUUUUUGGCAACUCUUUGCAUUAGUUUUGUAACCAGAUCCAAGGAUCUGCUUCAGUGCCUACAUCCUAAUGCACACCCACAGGCAGCAGAGGAAAAGCUCAGAGAAAAAGAGCAUGUCCUUCCAAGAAAGUGGGAUGGAGGAAGGGGAAAGAGCUGUACUAGAUUGCUGUGUCUGGUUAUUUACUGUAGUUUCUAAAUCCAUUAUCUGGGGCAACAGGGUGAAAGACAAGUGGAAAGCAGGUUCCCUCCCCAGUGUCUGUCUUCCUGGCACAGUUAUUUAUGAGGCAACCUGUAUUACCAGCAUGAGAUUUACUACUGAAAAGCUGGACCGAGAGUGAGUUAACGGCUGACAAGGUCAGUUGCAGCACAGCAUCCCAGUACCCCAGCAUCACAAGUACCCCAGUAGCAUCUUUUCAGAAAAAGGCUCAUGAAUGAGGGUUGCUUUGUUGUUUUUUUUCUUGUCUCAGUAGUAAGCAUAUGCCUUAAGCAAAAAGAAGUCUUUAUUAGGGUUUUCAAAAACAGUUGGUGGAAAUGUCACUUAUAUUUGUGUUGCUGAAAAUGAGAGCUUCUCUAGAGGUACGAGCCUUACAGAGUCUGAACUGGGUCUGAACACCUAUGUGUACCUUCCCCUCCCCUCUCCAAAGGAGACUAACCUUUCCAGAAAUACCAUGCAGCAGUGGAAGACCAAUGGCUCAUUCAUUAUUUAUAGUUUGAUAAAACCAGGUUUCACUUCAGCAUAAUUAAGAUGCUGCUGCCCCUUCUUCAGGCUACCUGAAGAUUGUCCUAUUGCCUUAACAAGCUCCCCUUCCCUCCAGGCAGCUAGAAGGUGUCAGCCCUUUCUGCCAAGCUGCAGGUACACCUUUUAUGAAGGAUACAUCUGUGACAGUAUAUGCGGUUCCUUCCAAAUCUGAAAGCAUGCUUGGGCAGGCAGCAUGCAGAGGGGAGGAGAAAAAGAGCAGUUUGAGAUGCUGUGAUACGCAGCACUCAACUAUUAAUAUGCACACAUGCAGAAAAAUAAACCAGUGCUUGUUUCAGACAUUUGCUGGGUGUGUGUUGAAUAUGUAUAUAUGGACACGCACAUAUGUGUGGAGACAAGCAGAUAUUACCGACUGUAGUUGGCUUUGUCAAAGUGUUCUGGAGUCCUCAAUAAAUAAUAGUAGUAGUAGUACAAUAUUAUCAUUCAGUGGGUUUUUCCUCCUUGUUCAGAUGUGUUUUAGUAGCAGUCCUGUUUUGUAAUUCUUUCAGAGGAGCAUCUCAAAGACUUUCACAGGCUUCACACUGCUUUAUACAUUCUACACGAGACAAAGGCAAAAAGGGAAGAAAUCCCUGCCUGCCCACAUGAAAGGGAACUUCCUCCCUAGUCUUAAGACCUUUAAUUUAGUCUGCAGGAACAAGGCAAGGCUGGAUGUCACAGACCUGAUUUUUCACAACGUACAGCUUACAAAUUUAAGGCAUUUCUGGGGCUUCCAUACUAAGCAAAACAGAUCUCUGCAUGACCCUGUCUGCAUCAUAAUUUUUUUCUUUUGUUUUCAAAUCGUGGAGUCAAACUCCUGGUUCAUCAGGCUGUGGUCUGGUCUCCCCUGGAGAAAAUAUUCCUGUUCUACAUGCAGAAGAUCUGAGCUUCAAUGAUCAUCCUCACAGUCAAGGAAUGAGUCAGACCAAGGCCAGGUGCAGGACAGAGGGGUGUGACAGUACAAGUGGUGACCUGUAAGGGGAAUUGAAAUGAGUGAACUUCUAAGGUUUCAAAAAAGCUUCCUCGGCCUGGGGGAGCGUGUAACUGCAUCUGUUUGUUGUGCAGUUCUGUUACUGUGUGGUGUUGCGUAGGUCAGGUAUGGACAAAUGUGCCCUAACUUGCAGCCCGAGCCCAUCGUUGGUGUGUAAUGCUUUCUGUGUCAGCAGCAGUGCUGACCUGGGCUGAGUAAAGGUGUAGGGCAGAUGCUGCACUGCUUGGUGAAGUUGAUGCUUGUGACUAGAAGAUGGUUCUGGAGAUGCUACUGCUAUUAUGGCCAGCAAAAACACGUACUUCCCUCAUGAGUUUAAAGCAUAAUGGAGAUUAUAUUUUAUUCCCUUGAUUAGUAGCAGAAUAAAAACUCCAGGUUGCAUUUCCUGAAUUGAAUGUAGCCUUUAGUCCUGCUAUUGUAACCUGCAGUAUAAGUAGCAAAGUUAAAAGCCAGGUACUCUGGGUCUGCAACCCCUGUGCUGUCAGCCCCCCCGCCCCCAAAACCCAAAGGUAGGCUGGACACUGGACUGUGGCAUGCUGCCGGUAAAAGCCUGAAAAGCCUUUUUGUCCCAUUUAGCUCUAUUUGAGCAAUGGGACAGUCAGGCCUGCUUGACAUUUGAGUCACUAAUUUCAAUUCCUAUUAAGGGUAAUCUGUCAGAGCACUCGCCAGCAUUUCUCCAGCUGUGCUGAGCUGUUGAACAGCCGCCUAUGGUUCUAACCUGUUUUUUAACAUGGUCCAGUUGUUUGAGGGUUUUGGGGGUAAGGGGGAGGCCAGGAUUUUGUUUGCUCGUUUGUUUAACGUAGGGAGAAGCAGCUUUUCCAGACAAUUUGGGGCAGGCCAGGUGCUAGCUAGUGUCUGUGAUGGCUGAAAUGUGGCUUGUUGAUGAGGUCUGAGAGGUCCAUCUCUCUAGCCUUUCUGUUUGCAGGCUGGCCUCCCUGAAGGCACACCAGCCUCUGGUUAAUUCUUGCUGCUUUGAGUGAGUUUUGAUAGAGCUCGUUCCCAGCAUGGGUUUGGUGCCAACCAGGAUUCUCCGAAACAGUGCUGAGCCACACGCUGGCAGUCAGCACUGGCGAACAGGUAUUGGUUCGGAUGCAGCGAACCGUGGUUUGGGGACAAGGUGGUUGAACACUGCCCCAGGCACACCGGGUGAUGGGAUGGGCUGUGCCAGCCUUCAGUUUAUGGUUCUGCCAUACUGACCCACAUUUUCUGUGCUGCUUGGGUCUAACAAAGGAGGCUAAAAACAAAGCACAAGAGAUCUUUAAUUUUCAGGUUACAGAUUUUCUGGAGAAAUUUGGAGAUAGUUCAUAACAGCGCAACAUCACUAAAAUACUUGGGAUUUAUUCACAAGAGCUGUUUUUUUUUAAAUCCCAGAACUUUGUUUCAGACUGUUUAGUAAAAUAUAACACUUACUUGCUAUUGCUUAUCCUAAACCUAUUCUGAACUGAAGGGAGCGGUUUUAUCAUGGUGACCAUUCUAGGAGUGCUAAAUAUUAGGGCUGCAGUUUCUAAUCUUGUGAUUCCUGUCUGCUUAUCUGAAAUCACUUUGAUGUGCCUGGAAUCAUACAGUUUUCCUCUACCUUUCCUUCGUGAGAGUUCCUAGGCAAAACCACAGCCUGUUUGGAGAGCGUGGGAACUCCUGAACCACUGAAUCCUAUGGAGGAUUUCAGAUUUCAGAAGGAACGACGAGAUGAAACUGGGCAAACUUACAGGACCCAGGUCAUGGAAGAGCAGUAGGAAGGUGCAGCAAUGAAAACUCAUCAAACUUAGCCAUACAUAGCUUGACUGUGCAUUACAAAACUAACUAUGCUAAAAAAAAUUAUCCAGCGAAGUAGCUGAACCAGAAAAGUAAUUUUCUGUUCCUAGCUUCUGUACCUAAGCAUCACCUUAGACUAUAAAGUAUUGAUUGCAGGUCGUGAAAGCAGUCACAGGGAGAUUAUUGUUGUGAUUUGUAUAGUCAGUCCAGGAACAUGGUGUUCCCCUGACACUACCAUUCUAGCUACUUUAGGUAAUGUCAAGGGAAGUCAUGUUUUUCUUUGUGUCGUUCAAGAGACAAAAGAAUGUCCUGUGCUAGUGAAGAGCCCAAGGAAACAAAUACUGCCAGAUGUUCACUGAAGUAUAACCUGCCAUUAAACCGGACAUUUGAAAAAAUGCCUUCAGCACCCUGCCAUAUUUAACACUAUCCACAACAGAAGGACCUGGCAAAAAAGCUGGAGAAAAGCAUUGACCAGACCUCCUGGUGUGACUCCCCUGAGCACGUGAGCUGUUCGGUUUGUACCUGCUCUCAGGAUUCCUAUCGCUCUGUCACUGAAACUUCACCGUGUGUUUGAGAGCCAUCGUCAGUGUGUAAGAAACAUUUGAACUGUGUAUCCGUGUACAAAAUUGGUGGCUGCUGUUGCACACCUACUAUGCACCAUUUGCACUGGAUGGAGAGUGUUUGUGUGGGGAGCUGAAGAGCUUAACUCAGAAAUAGCUGUCUUCCUUGGAAAGCUUAAGGUCUGAAUCACACUGUGUUGGCUCAGUUUUUAGCAGACAAGCUAUCACAUAUGCCUCCCUGUAGGCGAAGAGUCGUCACUGGCAUCAGGAUUAGCAGCCAGGUUCUUUACCUUCGAAAACUAGAGAAUUAAGAUACUGAAGGCUAAGGCUGACUUUAGGUGCAGUCAGGGCUGGAGGGUUUGGGGAGGGGGCUAGCAACACUGAGUAGGAAGGGUCUGCUCCUGUCUGUGCUUGGCCUGCACUGGUCCCCAUGUCUCUCUCCAUCCAAAAGGAGCCAGGUAACGUGCUCCCAGAUUUAACUUUGUUAUUGCAGCGAUGGGGACAAAGUAAGUUAUUUUGCUCAACAUCCUUGACGCAUUCACUGCUCCACUGCUGCCUGUGAAGCCGAGAAGACUAGAGCCAGCCUUAACGUAGCCAUGGCUGAUGUUGCCCCGAGUCAGCUGAAAAUACUAGUGACACGGACAAAUAGGAACACCGGAGAAAAGUGUGGAAACCUGGGAGGGGACAAGACAGCUACUGAGCUGAGGUACCUGAUACUGAAACCCUGCGAGAGACAACACUAGCUUGACAGACACUGGUGAACUUGGAGCAGCCUGCGGAGUCCACCUGACGACUACAGGACAGAAAUGCAAAUAUAUUUGGACACAUUUACUAUUUUUUUUUCUGGAACACAGUGUUAAGUUGAUGCCUAUCCUUAAAUACAUGCCACUCCUGAUUCCUAGCAGUCCAUAGGAAGUCUUGGGGGGAAAAGGGGAUGAGAGAAGUAGUGCAAAGUUUUUUGUAGUUAGCUCAAGAAACAAAUUAUAGAUACGUAUUUUAAAACGCCUCAGAGACACAGGAUUUUUUGAACCUACAGGUUUGGACUCAGUGGCCCGCUACUGCAGUAACAUUAAUUUUCAAGCCUCAUCUCCAAGUUCAGGACUCAAGCACUGCCACACUUGCAAGAAAUGUGGACUGGGAGUACCUGAACCAACUGGCCGCUGCCAAUGAGUCAGGGGAAUGACCUUGCAGCAGGCAGCUCACGGUACCUCUCUCGGAGCUGUGCCAGUAUAAACGGCACUGGCGUCUCUGAAUGCUGCUGAAACCAUUUUGUGAGAUUCCCGCGUUGGCCUUUUCUACUGCUGUCUUUGCACCAAAACUUCUGAGUGGGUGAGAACAGAAUAGGGCACUCCCUUCUUGUUCCAUAACAAGGGCAUCUUCGUGACCUACGCUCGGGGCUGUCUCUAUAAAGAUACAUGGAGGAGAGGGGCAACUCGUAUGUCUUGCCUGUACCUCUGUCCACUAGCAUCAGCGAUAGAUACUUAGAACUGACUUAAAUCUUACCCUCCCCUCCAGCCACACCCAUAUUAAAUUGUAAGAAAACACCGUGAGCAAGUUUUAGAAAAAAUACACGGCAGCAGUGAAUUUUCUGGAUAGGUCUGGAAGUGAUUUGUAGGAGGAGUGAGGGCAGAAUACUUGGCAUUUGGACAUUUUAAUGAAUUUUCCCAAAUAAGAAAAGAAAAACAUUUGCUCAUAGACUUUAAGCUUUUCACAGCAUCAGUAAAGCUCCUGACACAGAGCCCAACGCUGUAUUUGUAUAACAUGGAAAUUAACAGCAGCAGCAGCAGCAGCAGCGCUGCAGGCUUAGAGUCUACUCUGUGAGCAACAAAAUGGCUAGGGGUGCUGUCGUGUUCAUUCGGAUUCCAAAUGGUGAAAUAGGUGAGUGCCGAUAUAUCUGCCACUUCAGGUAUGGUUGAGAACUUUAACAUCAAUAUUAAAUUAAUGUUUCUAACCAUAUUCAAGCUUGUGCCCUCAUCAGCUCAACUCCGUAAAGCACAGACAGGAACCAACAGCAAAAUCGGACUGCGUCACAGAUGUAACAUGACCAUCGGCAAAACAAGUGCAGAAAGAGAUCAUGGCUGUCUCGUCAUUCAGAGAGCCUUCCUUCGACAGCAAAGAAGACUAAGACGGUAAUGCUUUUAAAUUUACAUUGUGAACAUUUGCAAUCCUUAACUUCCUUUACCAAAUUUUGUGGUCCUUGAACAGUCAAAACUCCCAAGAAAAUCGCAUGUAUUUUGCCAACAGACCCAACGCAUUAACGAACACUGCGUCAUAAUGCCGCACUAAGGCUGAGAGAUAGACUAAACCCCACUUUACAAAGGAAGGAAAACAAAAAUACAGAAAAUGAAUCAGCUUACACAAUGUCACACACACAAGUGUCAGAGGGAGGAAGAAAUCACAGCUUUCCCAAGUCCUUUUGUAGGAAUAUGCAGAAAAACAUUAUGGAACACUUAGCCACGUACAGCUAACAUACAGUAACAAUACCAUCCCUAUGCACAAAAUCGCUGCUGUCCUACAGAAAUAUGCCAUGUCCCCUUCUUAGCCUUGUUUCUUGCCAGUCCCACAGAUUUACCUGCUGACAGUAACCUCAAUUCCUGAGUAAUGAGAUUUACAGCUGAUGUUUAACAUUGAAAUAACUCCUCUUUUACCUCUGUCUCUUUACCCUCCCUGCAUUUAGUCACGAUUAAACCCUCACUGUGGCAAAAAGAUGGUAGCAAGAGGAAUAAAACCAAGCGCAUCCCUACGCUGAAGACAGAUACUCAAAAAGUGCGCAUAUGCCUAAGCGAGUAUACUGCUACCCGUUGCACCUCCUUUCGAAGGGCUGAGAAAUGUCACGGAGAAGCACUAGCUUUGCGAAUUAAUGGGGUCCUCCACCCCACAACUGUCACGGGCAAAAUUGCAAAGGGUUGUCCGUUCAGACGGCACUCGGUAAAACAGACUCAACCCACCCGUCUUCCAUGCAACUGAGCAUCAUUCCUUAGUCCGGCUCCUGGCUGUACAGAAUUACCUCCUUGACUGCCUUGUACUGUUCCUGUAUGUGUGCGUAUUUAUGCCUGUCCAUCUUGCUGCAGGGACCACCGUUGUUGCUGCUAUUCCUGUUGUUCCCCUGCUCUGCGGAACUGGCGCUGCAGGAGGCAAGGAUGCUCCAAGGGAGCCAGCUACAGCCAGUGAAGGCUCAGUGAGUCAGGAGGGGUUGUGACGACUGCAGUAAGAGUCUGAAAUUCCCUAUGGAAUCUGGCAGAAAAGGAGGGGAGGCAAGAAAGGUGGCGAUGGGAAAGAGGGAAAAAAAGUGGGGAGUGGCAACUACUGGCUGUUUUCUUUUUCCCUCCCUGUUCCUACCACCGCACUGCUGUUGGAAAUGGCAUCCUUCCCUCUACGGUACUGCGCAAAGGAAUGGAGUCGGGGAUAAAACCGCAGCGCGUACGGCCUUUGAAACCAACCAACCAAAAUUCGGCCGGGUUGAGUGUUUGUGUGUAAAUACAGCUCUUCUCUCUCUCCCUCUCUCUCAGACUGCCGUUCAGCGGACAGGCUACUGCUGAAGUAAAGGGACGACGGACGCAGUGUGUCUGAGCCACUUCUGAACCCAGUGGUUGUUGCUUAACAACCGGACCUGACGCUUGAGAUGUCAACGAGUGAGUAAUACAGAUUAAAUGCUUAUGCUGCCAUUUCCCUAAACUUGUUUAAGCCUCGAUAUGAUGAAAGGCUAUGGUAUAAUGUUCCAUGCCAUAUGAGAAAGCAAAGUUACCACUCCACUGAAUAAUCAGGAGACUUCCUCAGCCAGAAGGACCAAGCUCAAAGCUGGUUGUGUCCUCAGCAGUUCCAGGCAGAGUUGCCAUCUUCCUUGCUGCUCGCUUUAAGAAGAGAGGUGAAAAAAUAGUAUAGUAAAUGGUUAAGAGAGAAAAAUGUUCUCCCCUUCAUUUCCUCAUCCUCUCUCUGGAGCUGCUCUCUGCCCUCAGUCUCCCAUUCAUCCCUACCCAGUCCUUCCCAGUCUAUCAGUCCCUGCUUUCUAAUGCUUCUGUUUCUUCUGCAGAUCUUCACAGGCCCGUCACUUAGGGUUGUCUUCAUCUCUCCCUGAUGUUACCGAGCCUGUGGCAGACUCACACUUACGCAAACAAAAGCUGAGUUUGGGCAAGAGUCUUUUUCACUUCUUUAAUUAUUUCCCACGACAUAAUUUCCAGGUGCAAUCCCUGCCCCGAGCAGUUUACAGCCCUGCUAGCACUUAACCACCUUAUAAGGGAGAAGGAAGAAAGCAAGCAAGCCAGAAGAGCCUCAAACCCCAGUACUUUCCCCUUCCCCGUGGUUUGCAGCUCUGACACGUCAUCGUCGCAACUGCACGGCAAAACGAAACCACCCCAGCACCCGUGCGGGGCACCCAUGGGUGUGAGAUCGGGUACCCGCCGCGCCGUGGAGUGAGCUGCUGCUUUGCUGCCUGCUGGCCCUGCCUGGGGGGCGCCCGGCAGCCCCCCCGGAGCGGCGGGGGGGGCAGGCAGCAAGCAGGCAGCGGGCAGAGAGCUGCCGGCACUUUGAAGCAAGUGAAAUCAACGUUGAGAUUUGACACCCAGUCCUCGACCAAUCCGGGAGGGCUUUUCACCUGCCAUCACCUCCUCCGCCAAUCGGACGGCGCCUUUGGGCUGAGAGCCCUCCCCGGCCAAUGGGGAGCCAGCUCUGCCACUUAGUUAAUGAUGCAGCAGUACAGGGAAGACUAUCACAUGUGAGCUGGAAGGCUGCCAACAUGGAGACACGGAGAGAGCAAGCGUCUGAAGAGCCUGAGCUAUUUUGGGAUUUGUCUGUACUACACUGAAAAUGACACCUGUUACGCACAGACACAAAUGAGAAGAAUUGCAAGCUCCUGGUUUCUCAGAUACGAUUCUACAAAAAAAAAAAGAAAAAGAUCUUAUGAGCUAGGGACCUGGGAGGGCAGCACCGGCUCUCGCUGUGGGGUGAAGGGGGGGAUGACCCUUGCCAGUUGAACAGUCAGACACCAGUACAAACAAUGUAAAAGGUCUGCAAUACAUGGUUUCUUAUGCAGUCAAACCCAUGGGACUUCAAGCCUCACAUACACACUUUGUGGCCAAAGCUGCAAGCAUUAACUACUUCAGUUAACGAAGGUAAAAUUGUAAGGGCGCUAUGGCUACUUAAAUGAGUCACCCAGCAGUGCUACUUGCUAAAGUAGGCCGGUGUUUUAUGUGAUGUUAAGCUGUCUGUGCUGGUUUCGGUUACCCCUGAGUUAUCUCCGAAGCUCCCAACGUGCAGGGUCAGAGCGGAUUUUCCGCAUUCCCCGUUUUCCCCAUCGGCGUGCAGCUGAUUUACAAUCCUCGGUGCUGUGCAGGCGAGACAGAGGCCAUCUCGCUGGACCCGCGAGACCCAGCGGAGCUCUGAACAUGAUUGCGUACAGCACUGGAGCAAGAUAAAAGGCUCGGAGCCUCAGAAGUGGGACAGUUGACUGGUGCUUUUAGCUCACAGCGAUUUUGUCAGUCUUGUGGUAUAUUAAGAAAGUAAAACGGAGCUUUGAUUUAUUUAAAAUUAUAUCUUUCUGGUUGCUUUCAGGGGAAAGGCGGCAUUUAUUUCAUGGUUUACUUUCAUUUGAAAAUCACCAGCCAUGGAACGUUUUUCCCUUUACCCGACGGUAAGUAUUUGCUUUAUGGUGGUGCUCAGACUCCCAAGAAGACUCAAAAGCCGCACUGUGCUGGGAAACACUCAAGUGCAUGACUAAGAAAACAUGGCACAAUGGGAAGCUUCAGCACUUGCAGCUGAAUAAUGAGGCCCCAAAAAGUCAUCUUCCCCCAGUCUUGGCCAGGAUUUGGCAUUUUCUGGGAGCUGGAGUAAGGAAGGAGAGGCUGUGAUUCCGUGGUAGAAAUCUAGGCUGCUUUUCACUUUUAAGUGGAGCCUGUGUACAUGUUUUGUUACUGGAGGCGGGGGUGGGGGUUGCUUUUGCUUUUUCUCCAAACUGAAAGCAGGAGACAGAACUUCAGAUUUGCCAGAACUGACUGUGGGGAAGCAAAGACCUGGGCUAGAAAGCAAGCUUGGUAAAUGGAAAUAAUCCAUGGCUGUGGUUGGAGGCAGAGGAGGUGAGUCUCGCUGUGCAAAUGCUGGUGUAGGAUUCUGUUCCAAAGCGAGGGGUGACCUGACGGCUGACUGCAACUGUGCCAUGGGUGCUUAUAGAAAAGAAAGUUUUGAUAGUGCUAGACAAUAUAACACGGUAUCGCAGCUUAGAACGGGAACGGUUCAGGCUGGAUGUUGGGGGGGGGGGGGGGGAAAUUCCUUCAGGAAGGUGGGAGGGGUUGAACCCCCAGCCAUCACUACUGAGUCUGCUGCCAGCUGGCAGUUUCCCUCAGCAUCUUGAAAGGAUCGGGAGCAAUUCAUCAGUGAGCAGAGGAAGUGUGGGCAUAAAGGUGCAUCCUCAGCCCCCUGGCAUCUCCCAUGCUAUUUUCUGCUGUCAUGCUACAAUGACCUUAAUAGCAAUAAGAUGCGAAAUCUGUCGUUACAAAAAUCUAACCCUUGUGCACGUCAUUCUUGGUAUUGUGGGUGACAAAAUAACCUCAGCCAUCCACUCAGGAAGGUCCUUGGGCUUUUAUAAUGAGGAACGAAACCCUCGUGGUACCACCUGCACUUUCAGCUUCCUGCUGGCAAAGCCUUGGCUCAAGUUUUGGUUUAAAUGCCAUCAGCCACACCUUCCUCCCAUGCAGGAAGCUGCGAUUGUUAAAAUCAGGGCAUGUUCCUGUUUAACUAAAAGCUGAGAUCAAAUAAUCCAAAGGCCUUGACUAUGCCAAACAAAUUCCUGCCCGGGACGUAGCAAGUCUGUGCAGCUGUAAAUCUGUAACCCCUCGACCUCAGUAUCCCUGUAAAUGAUGUCUUGGCACAUCACCUCGGGGAGCGGUUGGUAGUAAACAGAAGGAGCAAAAAAUCAGGCAAAGGUGGAUGGGGGAAUGGGAAAGGUAAUAAUAAUAAUAAUAAUGCUUAGCACAGUAUUCUUCAGUUUACCAACUAAAAGUCCUGGAAGUUGCUUUAAAAUGCAAAAUAGUAUGUUUUUCAAAUGCUGACACGGUAUUACUUUUUCAAAAUGUGAAAAUUGUCAGUGCUGCCUCUUCCUCACAAAACGCUUAACCUCAGUGAAACGAUGGCUUCCAACAAAAGUCUUAUUUCAGCACAGAAUUCCCAGCCAGUUCCAUUCAAGGAAUACCAGCAGAAAGAGGAACACGACAGCCCAUCUGCCGGGACUGCUUCCCCUACCCCUCACCAGUCAAGAGGAUUUUUUAAAUUUCCUUUUAAUCUGAAUGUUGCAAUAGAAAAUAGUCCUUAAAAAAACCCCAACAGCUUACUUAACUCUUUGCUAAGUAAGAAACUGGCAAGUUUUUAAUGUUUACUUAUUUAAAUUUAAUAUAAUUUUGCAUAUGGGAAGGCUGAAUUAAAUAAAGGUUAAAUAUUAAAUAAUUUGACCCACAUUGUAUCCGGAAUCAGAGUUAAAGCUGAUCUGGAAAUCUGGGAGUUACUUGCUCCCAGAUUUUACUCAAGUUGAGCCUCUUGCUUAAUUAUAGUCUUUAUUGCACAGAAGGCCCCCAGUCAAUUAGUGAGACGUAACCAUCACCUGAAACACAAACUGCCGGAGCAGUGUGGCUUUUAGAGGAAAUUGAUAGAAAAUGAUUUCAAGGAGGCACUUUCAUUUUUCAAAGGAAAAACAGAAAGAAGACUUUGAAGUCUUCUUCCAGUUUUCACACGUAUGUGGACAACACCGGACAAUUCACGGUCUCACUGUGCUAUCCUAACAGUCACCGGGACAUGCAGAUUUCCAGAAAACUGGAAAUUUGCAACUCCAAAAUAGAAAUAUUUCUUAAUGCGGCUACCAAACUCCAUGAAGGGAUAUUCUACAUGAUGUACUGCGCUUCAGGUUUUGUUCCACAGUGACCACAGUAGGAAAGUUAGAGUCACGCAAACGUUUAGGUUUAGACUUUUUUUUUCCCCCUGAAAGGUUUAUUUUUCUAGACAAGCUUCAUUAGCGAGUACCAGAGAAAUGACCAGCACUUGCUAUUCCCAGUGUGUACACACGCUGUUGCUCUCACUGGGGUCCCAUCCAACAGGAGGAAGAGCAGGCAGGUGUAUAAAUAGCAAUAAAACCCUUUCUGAAACAGUUUUAAAGCUGGUUCCGCGCACCUGCUUGGGUAUGCACAACGGACUGCGCACCAAGAGCGCGGUGGGGUUUUCUCGUAGUGCUUUUCAGGGGUGGUUUGAGGGAAUUGGAUGGAACAGCUGGCGGGGACAUCAAAAGACUGCAAAGUCAGAGGUUUGGGUUUGAUCCUAAGAACUGUCGGGGAUUGUUGUCAUUGGGUAGUCACAUUUGCAUCAAACGCUUGCAUUCUUUCUGCAGACCUAGCCCGCACAAUAAAGCAAGGCACUGAAGUGGAAGCCUGCAGGUGAAAACCUAGCCCUCCCUUUGAAAACUUGGGAGUCCUGGAAUUUACCCUGUUGAACUCUUAAGAAAAUCCCAGCUGGAAGAGCUGAGAUCCUUUUCAAAGAGGUGGCACCACAUUAACAUACAAGCUGCUUCAAAGCAGAGCUUAGGGCCUUGUGUUGAAGCCGGGUUCAAGGUAUUUAGCAUCCUCACCCGAGGGCUCUGCCUUGCUCGCUGUCUUGCAGCGUUUCUGGUCAGUGCAAGGACAGAGACGCGGUCCUGAGGCAGCUCCCCAGCCCCCAGCCGCUCUGCCCACACUGGGAGAGGGAGCAGGAGCAGCCAGGCUCCCUGAGCUGCAGGUUUUCCUCAGUUCCAAAUCUAAGGAGCCAACAGCGCUGAGACAAAAGUAAUUAUUUCAGCUAUUAGCUAAGAAUAGAGCUGGCGGGGGUGCUGUGCAUGGCUGAGGUGCACUGACAGCACAGUCGGAGGUAGCGGGGAUUGCAGUGGAAGCACAGAAAUAGCCCUUCUCCGCGCUCAGCACUUUGAAGCCUCGUGAGUCACUAAAAUACACGGAGUGGGGGGGAUGCACACACAGGUGGGGUGCAGAGGGAAAUCGACCCUGCCCUCCGUCUAAAACGGAACGUACCCCUGGGCUGGUUGCUGUGUUUUUGCGGGGAGAACGGCGUGUUGCUGAGGAGCCUGUUUUUCCCCAAGGAGAGCAUCUCGCCAGUCACCAGGCAGCGGACCACCCUCACGCUUCCCACCCACCGGAGAGGAGAGCACGGCUGGCGCAGGGGAAACCGCCGGCAGCCCCGAUGCCCGCACCCGCUCAGAGCCCCGGGAGCUCGGUGAUGUGCCAGAGCUGCUUGGUGCGACUGAACCCCCCCGGAGCGGUGCUGUGCAGCAGCACAUCCCUAGCCAUCAGUAGGUGAGCACGAGGGCCCCUCUGCUUGAGCUGCGCACAUCGCUGCUGCCGUGAGAAGGAGCCAGCGACUGAAAGACCUUCUAGCUGGUAAAGAAAAAUCCAUCAAACACUCCUUCCAUAUCUUGGAUUUACCUAACUGAGGAAUAACUCUCUCGCAGGGACAGGGGGAACAGCACAAAUUUCAUUGAAAUGUCUGACUGAACCCGUUCAGGUGUUUUAGGAAAAAAUAAAACAAGCCCCGAUAAAUGUUAGGGCGCAGCCAUCACAGAGGGCAGGGUCUGAGAUGCCAACAGCAUCACGUCCAGGGCCACCAGCCUGGCAGGUGGCACUGCGUGGUGACAGGGGUCUGGGUGUGCUGGGCAGCACAGUGCAAGGAAAAGGGAGCUAGGGAGAGGGUGUGUGUCUGAAAAAUACGUUUUAUUUCUGAGCAGGACUGUCACUUCAGUAAACAGCAUUUUCACUUAACAGCUCAUCAGAAAAGAUUGCCUUUUACAUUUUUGAGACUCUGCACUGAAAGGCAGAUCCAGGAUUUGGGGCUUGCUUUUUGUAUUUUUAAUUAAAACGAGGAAGACGCACCACGGAACAGCUGGUACCUUUGGGCUGGUGGGCGCUCAGCUGGGCUGACAGAAAUUCGCCUGCACAUCCCUGCUUUGAUCUCCACAGCAGACAGUCUUGCAGCUGCAGUCUUCCAUAUCCCAGCUGAUGUUCUAGCAGAGGUUUUGGCUGCCCCGGUUGUCAGUGCUGCUGUCACCUCCCGGCUCCCCGGAGUUACACCCUGGGUACAAGAAAAUCUCCCAUGAAAAGUUUCACCAACGUUCAUAUGAGAAAACAAUAUUUUCCAUUUGGGAAAUGAAGAAACGGAGGAAAAAUGGGUUUAGAAUUUCCUGAGCAGCUUGUUUAGCUGCCUUGGACACAUCCGAGAGCAGACCUCCUCCCUUUGCCCACUGUGUUAUCGGAUGCACCUACAGAAAGGUGCUGCUGCCGUGUGUGUGCGGAGAGGCUUGGCCGAGCUUGGGAACACCCGUGGGUGCGAGGGCACAUCUCAUCGAAUGCAUGUGCCUGCCAGCCCCUGCCUGGAGUGCCUGCUUUCAUAAGCACAAGUGAGAGAUUGGGAAAUCUGCUGUGAUUCAUAGGAAUCGCUUCAGUCCCCACUCCCACCUCCAGCACAGCACCCACGAGUGCCCAGGAGCUGCCAGACACACACGGAGCGAGCACCACGCCUGCCUCCAGCUCAACAUUAAGCAUCGGCUGCUAAGACACACCCGGAAUAUUUAAAACUUGAUGCCACAAAUUAUUUCGUCUUAUCUGAAAAAAAUUCUGGAAAUGCUUAUUACCGAAAAUUAGUCGGGGUGACUUCAUCGGCUCGGCUGAACAAACCGGUGCCGUGGCGUUGUGCCGUCCGUGCCGGGUGCGGUGCUGGCAGGUCCUGGCUGAGCUUUAACACUGCCUUGUCAGCCUGGAAACUGGGAUGUACGUUAUUUUGGCCCAGGAUAAACUAUCUUUGCUUCUGCAGCACUGAGCCACGCUGGCCUCUGGGUCUUAGCUGAGACUUCUAGAUGCUUCUAAAAAAUUUGAAGCUAUUACCUUUUAAAAAUGCUUGUAAAAAAGAGGGAGCAAGAAGAAACUUAUUUCCUGCUUUCUCCUCAAACUGCCAAGGUUUAUUUUUUUUAAACUGCAUCUUUUUGGUCAGUUUUCUUCUGGAGCCUUUCAUACAACAAAGGUACACACCAGUUUAAAAGUCAGGACAGAUAUUUUGUACUUACACAGCAAUAAUAAUUUAAAAAACACUAGUUAAAGUUCUAAAAUCCAAGCUACCUUUAACAAAAUAAAAAUUAAUCUCAAAAAUAUUUUUAUGCACGAGUUGAUUGCUCUUCCCAGCCUGGAAUUAUUUUGCAAACAAAUCUCAAUUAGGGAGUGAAUUUUUCAAUGUUUUUUCCCUAUGAAAAAAGAUAUUGUGAUUUUUCAAGGUAUUUUGAUAUUUUUCUUACUUGGACAAUUCUGAUUAGUCACAUUAGUCCCACUGUAGAUUCCACCCCCCCCCUUUCUAAAAUAGGAGACCAUUGUUUUGAGUGAUUCCUUUUGUAUAAUUCGUAAAGUAGAAAUCAAAACAUUGAGCAUUACAAAACAAAACAGAUGAAAAUACUUUCAGUUUUGCUCAUGUUCCUGCCAACUAUUUUCCUUUUUUUUAAAAAAAAAAAAAAAAAAAAAAGACAACACACACAACAGCUCCUUCUCAGCCCGUACACGACUGUAUUAUUUUACUCCUUUAAAGGGGAAAGGAGAGCUGAGGAUUAGCUCUCAGCUGGCCAGAACAGCCAGCACCUAAGAAAUGGCAAGGACUGGUUUUAAGCCUCUAAGCCAGCUUCUAAUACUAUUUUUCCCCCAAAAAACCCCAAUAAGAGUAUACUGUGAUAAAGAUAGAAACUUUUAAGACAUCUUUAAAUAGGUAUUUUGAACAAGACACCAAAGAUCAGCCAUAUUAUGAAGAGCUGAAUAGUGUGAACACCAUUUGUUUGCCCUGGACACGAGCCUCUGUUCUUCAGAUCUGUUCCCACACUGUCCCUUCCUUAGGGCUGGACCAUCAAAAUGAGGGAUGCCAUGCUUCAAAAGCCAAGGGUGACCUUUCCAGCAGCCCUUUACGUCCUCUGCAUCAAUACCUGUGCACCUGAACUUUCUCUCUUUGGGAAACAGUGAUAGCUUGUGCAGGAAUCAGCCCGGCAGAAACUGUCCUCAGGCUUUGGCACUGCCGUCCGGUGCUGCUGCUCACUGUAAAAGAGAAAUAGCAGCAUCCCAAAGUGAUUCCAUGGAGCUUCCAAAACCACCUGCUGCAUUUAGUCCUUUCUUUGCCUGGGAGGUUUUCAUUUUCACCAAGUCCUGAAGAUGAUGAUGUUCUGGGGACGCUCAGAACCACCAGCGAUGUUGCCUCACCGGCUGCUCCAUCAGGGUCUGUAUCAGCUCCAGACCACUGGUCCAGCUGAAGCUGUCAUCUGCUUUGCCUCCAAGAUGCUGCCAGUCUAGAGUCCCCAACCGACUAUAACCCAGGAACAGAGCUUUUCUCCUCUUGAAAAUGCUGUCUGGCGUUUCUGCCCAUAUCUGUAGGAUGUUCGGCUUUUGAAGAGAUACGUCCAUGGCAGGGUAAAAGAUCCAGGAUACUGAUUCAGGAGUCUGUGGAAUGGGAGUUUGUGCAGGGAAGUGUCUUCUGGCAUUUAGGGUACCCCAUUUCAAUCAUCGAUAGGGUGGGCUCAGGGGGAAUACAGGGAAGCAAACUGGAUAUGACGGGUGAAAAUAAGGCCACCAGAUGUGCACUUGAAUGAGCCAAGAAUGACUGAGACGUAAAUCCCGAUCUUCCCUCUGACACCAUGCUCUUUCAUCAGGGCUACCUCCUGGGAGCUCCGGCAUCCUGGGGGUUUGCUUUUCAGCCUCUCUCUUUAGCAUUUCCCUCUGUGAGAUGUAACAGAAGCUUUCUGUAACGUCUUUUUGGAGAUCUGCAGCUCCUUUGCUGGAGAUGGAGCAUUUCUGCGCCUCUCCACUGCAGCUACAGGUGAGACGUGUAUAAGGGUGGAGGGUGAGCACAGCCUCGACACCAAACCCGCCACCCCUGGGGAUGAAAUCUGGGUUGGGUAAAGCCAUUCCAGCCUUGAAAUGCUGAGGUUAAAAUGAGCUUGUCCAAGAUGACAGCUGCCUUGGGAGGACAGUUCACUGCCUGCACCAAACUUUGAGUACAGAUGAAAACUGCAGCGCUUGAUGCCCAAAUGUACAUGGCCCAAAAUGGGCCAGGGUGCUGGGAGUUUCUUGAGCAUUCAACCUGUUUGCAGACACUGUGGAAAAUGAGUACAUAGUGAGCUGGCAAUGGAGAUGAUAGAAAAUCAGCGAGGCACAUCCAUGGUAAAACAGUGAGGAGUAAAGGAAUGAUCUCAUGAUGUGCAGUGGCUGGGGAAAAAUUACCUGAUUAAAUUUAGAUUUUGUUCAAAGUGAUAGGUUAAAAAAAAACCCUAACACAACCCUAAACGCACAUAUUCAAGUGAUGGUGUUACUCAGAAGUUUGCGGAGAGCUGGCUGCAGGGUGUGGGAAGGACCGUAGCUACCUGCCAUGCCUGGGUGCCCUUCCCUGGGUGCUCCCCACGGGUGCCAUGAAAGGCUGGCUCCUGGCAUGAUGGAUUUGUGCAGUCUCAGCAGGGCAGGACUAAUUCUUAUAUUUGCAUCAUUCCAUUGACGUGACGAACUGUACUGAGCAGGCAGCGUGACGCUCCAUGGUCACAGAACACUGUGAAACUGUAGGAUGCCAGGUAAACACACCAGAGAGACGUUUUAUACUGUAUGUGAACAGUUCCUACUCAUGUCACAGCCCAGUAUAGCCAGCACUGAAAACCACACCAUUAAAACAUGUUGCAAGGGUGCGAAGCCUACGUGAUUCCUUCUAUCUGUGCAUUAUGGAAAUGGCCGGCUGACUGGUAUGCUGUGGAAGGGCCACCACAUGAAAGUGGGGCCAGGUGAGAAAGUAUAGCACCAUAAAAGAAAUGCAAAGUCACAGUUUAAAGGCAGAUAUUUCUUUCCCAGGAUACGAAUGUAAUUCCUACAGCAAAAAGAACAAAAGCUUCCUUCUGUAAACCUGUUUCACAGAGACCACGAGAUGGGGAAAUCUAUCACGCUUAGGUAACACUGGGAAGGAGCUACUCUGGGUGGCCCAGCGUUAAUGUCCUGGUGAGCUUCGAGGCUGGAGAUUUAGUCAGGCAAUGACCGGACAGAAUGGCAGUGAUGGAAACUGUGAAAGCCCACAAACCUUACAGCUUCGGACCCUCGCAAAGAACGAGAGACAGAGAUUGUGUUAUUAAGACCACACAGGUUUGUUUGAGAAGGACCUACUGCCUUCUAAUAGCCUGGGGGAAAAAAAAAAAAAACCCAACCAAAAAACGACUUUCCAUCUCCAUGGUAAGCCCUUCCUCCAAAGCACUUUUAAUGCAAUUUGUUUCCUGUUCCUCUGUUUCUCUGAUGGUUUUAGAACAGUUGAGGCUGAAGUGCUGGUAACACCUACAGCAGGACCGUGGAUGAGAACCCACGUCUUUGCCUUUGACAGCAAGGGAUAGGAGCUUCUGUCCCCUCCAAGGGGAUAACCCACGUUACCAUCGCUAAACUGAAUAUAUGUGCGGAAUGAUUACUGCCGGCAGAAAAAAAGUCACAGGCAAAGUAUCUGCAGAAGACAGAAAGAGAGGACCAGCACCGCUCCAGCCUCUCUCCUUGCAGGAGCUGGUACACAAGUCACUUCUGGCAGAGCUUCCAUCUCGGGAUGGAUCCCUCUGUCGUGCAAAGGGCCUUGGCUUGUGAUGGUAAUUUUAUCGUGGGUAACUACCCGUGCUGGCCUUUGCUGCCCUUAGCAUUAACACACCCUUCCGUGUUACUUGCCUUGCCUGCUCGUCUCAGAGGGCAGGCGGGGUGAGGGCUCAGCAGGGCCAGCCAGGGCAAUGCCGGCUUGUAAAACCCUGCUCCAGGCUGACAGAGCGAUACUAAGAAAGGGAAUUAUCCUGAGCACAAAUUCUCAAAAGGACCGUGAACGCGGCCGCAGGACACUUCGUUAGCAACUGAUAAUGUAGGACACGGGGGGUUGCAGCGCAGAGGGUCGCACAGGGCACCGAGUGUCCCGCAGCAGCCGACUCCAGCCCGCUACCGCUUGCCAUGGGAGCUCUCAGCUGCUCCCAGUCUCUCCCGGGGCUCCCCCUCUUCAU